UACGGAGGGUGCAAGCGUUAAUCGGAAUUACUGGGCGUAAAGCGCGCGUAGGCGGCUUGUUAAGCCAGAUGUGAAAGCCCCGGGCUCAACCUGGGAACUGCAUUUGGAACUGGCAGGCUAGAGUACAGUAGAGGGUGGUGGAAUUUCCAGUGUAGCGGUGAAAUGCGUAGAGAUUGGAAGGAACAUCAGUGGCGAAGGCGGCCACCUGGACUGAUACUGACGCUGAGGUGCGAAAGCGUGGGGAGCAAACAGG
rnacentral:rRNA from 1 species